CAGAGGCUCUACUUGAAUGACAACUCCUUCUCCGGCAUGUUCCCGGCGAACCUGAGCUCCUGCAUCAGCAUGUUCAUAUUGGGACUGCACAACAACAAGUUCAGCGGGCGCAUCCCGGCUGAGCUCGGCGAAAAGCUCAAGUUCCUGGCAGCGAUCUCGCUGAGUAACAACAGCUUCACAGGACCCAUACCGGCAUCACUGGCCAAUAUGUCCUAUCUACAGAACCUCGAUCUCUCCAACAACCAGCUAGUUGGCCCAAUCCCACCAGAACUCGGCAGCAUCAAGAGGAUGCGGCGAUUCAAUCUAUUCGGUAAUAACCUCUCGGGUAUACUUCCACCUUCUCUCUACAACUGGUCAUCACUGCAAUUAUUUCAGGUAGGGGUAAAUAAGUUGUCUGGAAGCAUUCCAGAUGAUAUCGGUAACAGAUUCCCCAAGAUGAAAUAUCUUGGCUUGUCUGUUAAUCGGUUCAUUGGAGCCGUCCCUUCAUCACUACCCAAUCUAUCAGAUCUCGUGAGACUUGACCUCUCGUGGAACAGAUUUAGUGGGUAUGCGCCUCCCACUUUGGGAAGGAUGGGAGUUCUCCAAUAUCUUGAUUUGGCUGAAAAUAAGCUUGAAGCGAAUGACAAGGUGGGGUGGGAAUUCAUCACUUCUUUGGCAAAUUGCAGCCAACUAGAGCAUUUGUCACUUGGGAGGCGACUCUUUCGGAGGAAAAUUACCUGGGUCGAUUGUGAACCUCUCAGUGACUCUCCAGAAGUUAUACUUAAUGGACAGUAGGGUCUCUGGGAGUAUCCCUGCAGAUAUCGGCAAUUUGGUAGGUCUCACCUUGCUUGCCAUAGCAAAUACUUACAUAUCUGGAGUGAUUCCAGAGAGUAUUGGUAAGCUACAAAACUUGAUCGAGCUAGGCUUGUACAACAAUAGCUUGUCUGGCCUCAUACCGUCAUCACUAGGAAAUCUUUCCCAGUUGAAUAGGCUUUAUGCGUACUAUGGCAACUUGGAGGGGCCAAUUCCAGCAAGCCUGGGGGAGUUAAGAAACCUAUUCGUACUUGAUUUGUCAACAAAUUACCAACUUAACGGUUCAAUACCCACAGAGAUUUUCAAAUUGCCUGGACUUUCUUGGUACUUGGACCUUUCAUACAAUUCUCUUUCUGGAACACUUCCUUAUGAAGUUGGCAGCUUGGCAAACCUUAACCAACUGAUUCUAUCAGGAAACCAGUUGUCUGGCAAGAUACCCAACAGUAUCCAGAAUUGCGUAGUGUUGGAAUGGCUAGUAUUAGACAAUAACUUGUUUGAGGGAAGCAUACCUCAAUCACUGAAGAAUAUAAAUGGGAUGAGUAAGCUGAAUCUGACCAUGAAUAAGUUUACCGGCAAUAUUCCUGAUGACCUUGGUAGUAUUGCAAACCUGCAGGAAUUGUACCUAGCACACAACAAUUUGUCAGGGUUAAUCCCAGCAGUUCUACAGAAUUUGACAUUGUUGUCCAAAUUGGAUGUAUCCUUCAAUAAUUUGCAAGGCGAGGUGCCAAAUGGAGGUGUUUUCAGAAACAUCACUUACUUAGCGGUUGCUGGGAAUACCAAUCUCUGCGGUGGUACACCUCAACUUCACCUGGCCCCAUGCUCCACAAGCCCCUUAAGCAAGAACAAAAAAAGGAUGUCAAAGCCUCUUAUAAUUUCUCUAGCAAUAACUGGAGCAAUCAUGUUGUCACUUUCAUUUAUUCUUGUUCUUUGGGUAUUUCCCAAGAAGCUCAAAGAAAGCCAGAAGACAACAGUGCAAAAUUCAAUUGUUGAAGAACAGUACGAAAGAAUCCCAUAUGAUGCAUUAUCGAGAGGAACUAACGGAUUUUCAGAAGUUAACUUGCUUGGUAGAGGAAGUUAUGGUGCAGUUUAUAAGUGUGUUUUGGACAAUAAGGAAAGAACUUUGGCUGUCAAGGUGUUUAACCUUGGUCAAUCCAGGUAUUCCAAGAGUUUUGAGGUCGAAAGUGAGGCCAUGAGAAGGAUACGACACCGCUGUCUCAUAAAGAUCAUUACUUGUUGUUC
rnacentral:lncRNA from 1 species